ensembl:snRNA U6 U6 spliceosomal RNA
GUGCUUGCUUUGGCAGCACAUAUAAAAUUGGAAUGAUACAGAGAAGGUUAGUAUGGCUCCUGCGUAAGGAUGACCUGCAAAUUUGAGAAGUGUUCCAGAAAAAA